UACGUAGGUGGCAAGCGUUGUCCGGAAUUAUUGGGCGUAAAGCGCGCGCAGGCGGUCCUUUAAGUCUGAUGUGAAAGCCCACGGCUCAACCGUGGAGGGUCAUUGGAAACUGGGGGACUUGAGUACAGAAGAGAAGAGUGGAAUUCCACGUGUAGCGGUGAAAUGCGUAGAGAUGUGGAGGAACACCAGUGGCGAAGGCGACUCUUUGGUCUGUAACUGACGCUGAGGCGCGAAAGCGUGGGGAGCGAACGGG
rnacentral:rRNA from 1 species